rnacentral:rRNA from 1 species
AACGUACGCUGGCGGCACGCCUAACACAUGCAAGUCGAACGAAGUAGCAAUACUUAGUGGCAGACGGGUGAGUAACAUGUAGGUAUCUGCCCUUUGGCCUGGAAUAACACGAGGAAACUUGUGCUAAUACCGGAUAAGUCUUUACGGAGAAAGCUUUAUGCACCAUUGGAUGAGCCUGCACUUGAUUAGUUUGUUGGUGGGGUAAUGGCCUACCAAGACUGUGAUCAAUAGCUGAUUUGAGAGGAUGAUCAGCCACAUUGGGACUGAGACACGGCCCAAACUCCUACGGGAGGCAGCAGUGGGGAAUCUUGCACAAUGGAGGAAACUCUGAUGCAGCGAUGCCGCGUGAGUGAAGAAGGCCCUUGGGUUGUAAAGCUCUUUCGUCGGGGAAGAAAAUGACUGUACCCGAAUAAGAAGGUCCGGCUAACUUCGUGCCAGCAGCCGCGGUAAUACGAAGGGACCUAGCGUAGUUCGGAAUUACUGGGCUUAAAGAGUUCGUAGGUGGUUGAAAAAGUUAGUGGUGAAAUCCCAGAGCUUAACUCUGGAACUGCCAUUAAAACUUUUCAGCUAAAGUAUGAUAGAGGAAAGCAGAAUUUCUAGUGUAGAGGUGAAAUUCGUAGAUAUUAGAAAGAAUACCAAUUGCGAAGGCAGCUUUCUGGAUCAUUACUGACACUGAGGAACGAAAGCAUGGGUAGCGAAGAGGAUUAGAUACCCUCGUAGUCCAUGCCGUAAACGAUGUGUGUUAGACGUUGGAAAUUUAUUUUCAGUGUCGCAGGGAAACCGAUAAACACACCGCCUGGGGAGUACGACCGCAAGGUUAAAACUCAAAUGAAUUGACGGGGACCCGCACAAGUAGUGGAGCAUGUGGUUUAAUUCGAAGAUACGCGCAGAACCUUACCAACACUUGACAUGUUCGUCGCGACUCUAAGAGAUUAGAGUUUUCGGUUCGGCCGGACGAAACACAGGUGCUGCAUGGCUGUCGUCAGCUCGUGUCGUGAGAUGUUGGGUUAAGUCCCGCAACGAGCGCAACCCUCACUUUUAGUUGCCAUCAUUAAGUUGGGCACUCUGAAAGAACUGCCAGUGAUAAGCUGGAGGAAGGUGGGGAUGACGUCAAGUCCUCAUGGCCCUUACGUGUUGGGCUACACACGUGCUACAAUGGUAUCUACAACAGGAAGCAAGACUGCGAAGUUAAGCAAAUCCCUAAAAGAUACCUCAGUUCGGAUUGCACUCUGCAACUCGAGUGCAUGAAGCUGGAAUUACUAGUAAUCGUGGAUCAGCGUGCCACGGUGAAUGCGUUCCCGGGUCU